rnacentral:rRNA from 1 species
AUUGAACGCUGGCGGCAGGCCUAACACAUGCAAGUCGAACGGUAACAGGAAGCAGCUUGCUGCUUCGCUGACGAGUGGCGGACGGGUGAGUAAUGUCUGGGAAGCUGCCUGAUGGAGGGGGAUAACUACUGGAAACGGUAGCUAAUACCGCAUAAUGUCGCAAGACCAAAGAGGGGGACCUUCGGGCCUCUUGCCAUCGGAUGUGCCCAGAUGGGAUUAGCUUGUUGGUGGGGUAACGGCUCACCAAGGCGACGAUCCCUAGCUGGUCUGAGAGGAUGACCAGCCACACUGGGACUGAGACACGGUCCAGACUCCUACGGGAGGCAGCAGUGGGGAAUAUUGCACAAUGGGCGCAAGCCUGAUGCAGCCAUGCCGCGUGUAUGAAGAAGGCCUUCGGGUUGUAAAGUACUUUCAGCGGGGAGGAAGGGAGUAAAGUUAAUACCUUUGCUCAUUGACGUUACCCGCAGAAGAAGCACCGGCUAACUUCGUG